CCUACGGGGGGCAGCAGUGGGGAAUAUUGCACAAUGGGGGAAACCCUGAUGCAGCGACGCCGCGUGAGUGAAGAAGUAUUUCGGUAUGUAAAGCUCUGUCAGCAGGGAAGAAAAUGAAGGUACCUGACCAAGAAGACCCGGCUAACUACGUGCCAGCAGCCGCGGUACUACGUAGGGGGCAAGCGUUAUCCGGAUUUACUGGGUGUAAAGGGAGCGUAGAGGGCAGGGCGAGUCUGUAGUGAAAGGCGGGGGCUCAACCCCCAGACUGCUCUUGAAACUGUCAGGCUGGAGUGCAGGAGAGGUAAGUGGAAUUCGUAGUGUAGCGGUGAAAUGCGUAGAUAUUAGGAGGAACACCAGUGGCGAAGGCGGCUUACUGGACUGUAACUGACGUUGAGGCUCGAAAGCGUGGGGAGCAAACAGGAUUAGAUACCCGGGUAGUC
rnacentral:rRNA from 1 species